GGACGAACGCUGGCGGCGUGCCUAAUACAUGCAAGUUGAGCGCUGAAGGUUGGUACUUGUACCGACUGGAUGAGCAGCGAACGGGUGAGUAACGCGUGGGGAAUCUGCCUUUGAGCGGGGGACAACAUUUGGAAACGAAUGCUAAUACCGCAUAAAAACUUUAAACACAAGUUUUAAGUUUGAAAGAUUCAAUUGCAUCACUCAAAGAUGAUCCCGCGUUGUAUUAGCUAGUUGGUGAGGUAAAGGCUCACCAAGGCGAUGAUACAUAGCCGACCUGAGAGGGUGAUCGGCCACAUUGGGACUGAGACACGGCCCAAACUCCUACGGGAGGCAGCAGUAGGGAAUCUUCGGCAAUGGACGAAAGUCUGACCGAGCAACGCCGCGUGAGGGAAGAAGGUUUUCGGAUCGUAAAACUCUGUUGGUAGAGAAGAACGUUGGUGAGAGUGGAAAGCUCAUCAAGUGACGGUAACUACCCAGAAAGGGACAGCUAACUACGUG
rnacentral:rRNA from 1 species